rnacentral:rRNA from 1 species
ACAGCAGUAGCCGCGGGAAUACGUAGGGUGCAAGCGUUAAUCGGAAUUACUGGGCAUAAAGCGUGCGCAGGCGGUUCGCUAAGACAGAUGUGAAAUCCCCGGGCUUAACCUGGGAACUGCAUUUGUGACUGGCGGGCUAGAGUAUGGCAGAGGGGGGUAGAAUUCCACGUGUAGCAGUGAAGUGCGUAGAGAUGUGGAGGAAUACCGAUGGCGAAGGCAGCCCCCUGGGCCAAUACUGACGCUCAUGCACGAAAGCGUGGGGAGCAAACAGGAUUAGAGACCCGCGUAGUCCCUGUCUCUUAUAC